rnacentral:RNase_P_RNA from 1 species
UUUGGGUAGCGGAUGGCCGCCGGCAGCAAUGCCAGAGGAAAGUCCGGGCACCAUAGAGCAAGAUGCUGGAUAACGUCCAGGCGCAGUAAUGCGACGGAUAGCGCAACAGAAAGUAAACCGCCUGCUACAAUGUAGGUAAGGGUGAAACGGCGAGGUAAGAGCUCACCGCGCAUUUGGUAACAAGUGCGGCACGGCAAGCCCCAUCUGGUGCAAGACCAAGCAGGGAUUCGCUUUUAGCGGGUGUAGCUCGCACCUUUGAAUUCCGGGUAGGUCGCUUGAGGUUAUCGGUAACGGUAAUCCUAGAUAGAUGGUCAUCGUCUUAUUAAGAUACAGAACCCGGCUUAUAACUACCCUAUCAUG